rnacentral:rRNA from 1 species
UACGUAGGUGGCAAGCGUUGUCCGGAUUUACUGGGCGUAAAGAGCGCGCAGGCGGUCGUUCAAGUCGCGUGUGAAAGCCCCCGGCUCAACUGGGGAGGGUCACGCGAUACUGAUCGACUCGAAGGCAGGAGAGGGUAGUGGAAUUCCCGGUGUAGUGGUGAAAUGCGUAGAUAUCGGGAGGAACACCAGUGGCGAAGGCGGCGACCUGGACAGAUAUUGACGCUGAGGUGCGAAAGCGUGGGGAGCAAACAGG